rnacentral:rRNA from 1 species
UACGAAGGGGGCUAGCGUUGCUCGGAAUCACUGGGCGUAAAGGGUGCGUAGGCGGGUCUUUAAGUCAGGGGUGAAAUCCUGGAGCUCAACUCCAGAACUGCCUUUGAUACUGAAGAGCUUGAGUCGGGAGAGGUGAGUGGAACUGCGAGUGUAGAGGUGAAAUUCGUAGAUAUUCGCAAGAACACCAGUGGCGAAGGCGGCUCACUGGCCCGAUACUGACGCUGAGGCACGAAAGCGUGGGGAGCAAACAGGG